rnacentral:lncRNA from 1 species
GGUCACAAACGCCCGCCCUUCUGCCUGCCCCUCGUCUGGCUCUGCGUUUCUCCUCAGCAUGUUGUCACCUGACACGCUGUGGACUCGAUUUGAUUUGUGCGUCCUCAUUCUGUCCUCGCUAGGAUGGAGGUUCCACGAGAACAGGGCUUUCCUCUGGCUGCUGACGACGGAGCUCCCGGCACCUGCACGAGUGCGUGGCGCGUGGGAGCAGGUGUGCGCUGAGUGCUCGGUGCAGUUGCUGGCAGCGCGUGCACGUCCGCAGCUGUGAGCGUAGCUCUAGCAGUGUAGACACCUGGGAAAGUCGGGGCCCAAUCAGUGAGCUGCUCCUGCCCCUCAUCCGCUCCAAAUUUUGAGUCUGUGUCACCCACUUUGCAGCUUUUCCAUCUACUCUGAUAGAAUCGUCUCGAUAGGACAAUGCCUAUUCCUGUUCUGAGCCUAAGUUCUAUCUCCUGCAUGGGUCACAAAGCCGAGCCCCUGGCCACUGAGGCCUCCCCGUUCGCCUCCCAGAGGCCGCCACUUUCUUCAGGGCUAUCAGAUGAAGGCAGCAACGAAAACACCACCACAAGACCAACUUCAGGCUGGAGCUGAUGAUGCCACACAGCGAGAAAAAAGAAAAUAGACUCUACUUAGAAAUGAAACUCAACUAAAGGUAAAAGUUGUCAGGAACAUCUCCAAGAAAGCCAGAGUCAGCCUCUAAACUUUGCAUCAAGAACGCAAUGGCUUCCCUGAGGGCCCAGGGACGCGUGGCAGCUGUGAGGCAGCCCCUUCUCUGCUGUCGAGGAACUGGACACUUCUCCUGUCCCUUCCCACAAGAUAUAAAAGAUUCAGGACGUAGUGCUCGUGGUUGGGGUCGGGGACAUGGCAAGACAGGAGCGGAAGAGAGAGACGGAGAAGACGCAGGGGAACUGCAUCUGCCUCUGCUGCUCAGGAACAGCGUUGAGACCGGCGCAGGGACCAUGGGUGGGAGAGUCCUGAUGUACUCAAUGUAUAAUAUUAGGCAGAAACCCAAUAUAAAAAGAAAAGCAGAGUUGUUGUAGAUUCAUCGAGGGUUGGCGACCUGGUUCCAAUGAGCCAUCUCCCUGUUCCGACAGGGGCUUCCUGGAGCUCCUGCAACCCCAGGCAUUAGUUCCGGUGCAGUUCUAGGAUCAGAUCAAUUCACUCGACAACAAGAGAAACAAAUGGAGAUUCCUACACAAAGACUUUCAAGCACAAAGAAAUCCUGCUGCCUGUAAAGCGGAGCUGCCUCAGCCCUUGAUGAACGACAGAAAAUACCACCUACUGCCAGACCUCAACGCCUCACAAAACUCUCACCCACCUACUGCUUUUAGCUCACAUUCCAGGAAUUCAGAUGAAGUGAAGUGCUCUCAUGGGGACCAGGCAUGGUUAUGCCAGUCCACUGCCCUGCAAGCCUCAAGGGAAGCCAACUGCCCUUCAGCAAGUCACACCUGCCUUGGUGGAGGCCUUGAUUGGAAGUGCCACACGCUACAUGUCCAGUCCUGAGCGGGAGAAUCGGUGUAGGGACGUUCUGGGGAUGCCAGCUGUGGCCAGAUCAGGUCCAACUACAGAAGAAUAAUGAAGACUCCACCUGAGGGCUGGAAAAACAAAACCUCAAGUGUGAGGCAGCCAACCUGUUACCUCGAGGGACUGUUCCGCAGCACAGCGGGGCCAUGGGAACAGCAGCAGACACCCCGACCUCCUCGCUACCUGUAUCAACUAUGGCCUGAGUAUGAUAGACUUAUCCAUGGUUUAAACAGAAUAUAUUGUUUUCAACUUUGAAAAUAAGAAUAUGGAAAUCCAGAUGCAGAAAUGUGAGAAGAAAAGAGAGUAAACAGAGUGGAAGGUCAGGUGACCUUGCCUGUCAUGAAUAUGAAGGUCAAGGCCCCACUGUGAGACGUGAAUGUGCCUGGAUUUCGGUAUCUGCUGGAACCAGUCCCACGCUAUACCAAGGGAUGACUGCACACCUAUUUCUGAUGACUGGAGAACUCCAAGGGGUUCGUCUUGACAAUACCAUUAACUUAAAAAUUCAAUAAAGAUUAACAAAUCGGUGGUACACUC